CUGCUCACUUCAGCAGCACAUAUACUAAAAUUGGAAUGAUACAGAGAAGAUUAACAUGGCCCCUGUGCAAGGAUGACACACAAACUGGUAAUUUGACCUCAGCUAAC